rnacentral:rRNA from 1 species
CCCGAAAGCUAUUUAGGUAGCGCCUCGUGAAUUCAUCUCCGGGGGUAGAGCACUGUUUCGGCAAGGGGGUCAUCCCGACUUACCAACCCGAUGCAAACUGCGAAUACCGGAGAAUGUUAUCACGGGAGACACACGGCGGGUGCUAACGUCCGUCGUGAAGAGGGAAACAACCCAGACCGCCAGCUAAGGUCCCAAAGUCAUGGUUAAGUGGGAAACGAUGUGGGAAGGCCCAGACAGCCAGGAUGUUGGCUUAGAAGCAGCCAUCAUUUAAAGAAAGCGUAAUAGCUCACUGGUCGAGUCGGCCUGCGCGGAAGAUGUAACGGGGCUAAACCAUGCACCGAAGCUGCGGCAGCGACGCUUAUGCGUUGUUGGGUAGGGGAGCGUUCUGUAAGCCUGUGAAGGUGUGCUGUGAGGCAUGCUGGAGGUAUCAGAAGUGCGAAUGCUGACAUAAGUAACGAUAAAGCGGGUGAAAAGCCCGCUCGCCGGAAGACCAAGGGUUCCUGUCCAACGUUAAUCGGGGCAGGGUGAGUCGACCCCUAAGGCGAGGCCGAAAGGCGUAGUCGAUGGGAAACAGGUUAAUAUUCCUGUACUUGGUGUUACUGCGAAGGGGGGACGGAGAAGGCUAUGUUGGCCGGGCGACGGUUGUCCCGGUUUAAGCGUGUAGGCUGGUUUUCCAGGCAAAUCCGGAAAAUCAAGGCUGAGGCGUGAUGACGAGGCACUACGGUGCUGAAGCAACAAAUGCCCUGCUUCCAGGAAAAGCCUCUAAGCAUCAGGUAACAUCAAAUCGUACCCCAAACCGACACAGGUGGUCAGGUAGAGAAUACCAAGGCGCUUGAGAGAACUCGGGUGAAGGAACUAGGCAAAAUGGUGCCGUAACUUCGGGAGAAGGCACGCUGAU